CUUCAUCGCAGGGAUCACCCAGAGGUUCACUCACAGCAUCCAGGCUAUCAGGGACUCCGUUCCUUCUCUAGUUGAGGAUGAGGGGUAUAGGGGACCUGUACAGGAACCACCCCCGAAGAAACGGAGGGCAAUGGGAGAAGAAACGCAACAGCAUCUGGCAAUAGAGGUAUGUGAUACCAUUAUGAGCCAUGCC